rnacentral:rRNA from 1 species
UUGCUUCUCUGACGUUAGCGGCGGACGGGUGAGUAACACGUGGGCAACCUGCCCUAUAGUUGGGGAUAACUCCGGGAAACCGGGGCUAAUACCGAAUAAUACAUUCCAUCUCCUGUUGGAAUGUUGAAAGAUGGUUUACGCUAUCGCUAUAGGAUGGGCCCGCGGCGCAUUAGCUAGUUGGUGAGGUAACGGCUCACCAAGGCGACGAUGCGUAGCCGACCUGAGAGGGUGAUCGGCCACACUGGGACUGAGACACGGCCCAGACUCCUACGGGAGGCAGCAGUAGGGAAUCUUCCACAAUGGGCGAAAGCCUGAUGGAGCAACGCCGCGUGAGUGAAGAAGGUUUUCGGAUCGUAAAACUCUGUUGUAAGGGAAGAACAAGUACAGUAGUAACUGGCUGUACCUUGACGGUACCUUAUUAGAAAGCCACGGCUAACUACGUGCCAGCAGCCGCGGUAAUACGUAGGUGGCAAGCGUUGUCCGGAAUUAUUGGGCGUAAAGCGCGCGCAGGUGGUCCUUUAAGUCUGAUGUGAAAGCCCACGGCUCAACCGUGGAGGGUCAUUGGAAACUGGGGGACUUGAGUGCAGAAGAGGAAAGUGGAAUUCCAAGUGUAGCGGUGAAAUGCGUAGAGAUUUGGAGGAACACCAGUGGCGAAGGCGACUUUCUGGUCUGUAACUGACACUGAGGCGCGAAAGCGUGG